rnacentral:rRNA from 1 species
GACGAACGCUGGCGGCGUGCUUAACACAUGCAAGUCGAACGGAAAGGCCCUGCUUUUGUGGGGUGCUCGAGUGGCGAACGGGUGAGUAACACGUGAGUAACCUGCCCUUGACUUUGGGAUAACUUCAGGAAACUGGGGCUAAUACCGGAUAGGAGCUCCUGCUGCAUGGUGGGGGUUGGAAAGUUUCGGCGGUUGGGGAUGGACUCGCGGCUUAUCAGCUUGUUGGUGGGGUAGUGGCUUACCAAGGCUUUGACGGGUAGCCGGCCUGAGAGGGUGACCGGCAACAUUGGGACUGAGAUACGGCCCAGACUCCUACGGGAGGCAGCAGUGGGGAAUAUUGCACAAUGGGUGGAAGCCUGAUGCAGCAACGCCGUGUGCGGGAUGACGGCCUUCGGGUUGUAAACCGCUUUCGCUCAUGACGAAGCUUUGUGUGACGGUAGUGGGUAAAGAAGCACCGGCUAACUACGUG